GUUUAAUGCAACCCCUCACCUCUCUCUUCUCAGCUGGCAAGUCUGUCUCUUUCUCUUGUUUUGAAAUUGAAGACUGGAAGACUUGUGAGCGUCCCUUUUUCUCUUUUAUUUUGUUCCUCUUGCACUCCUCUUUUUCUGCCAGCUAACGUAGAGAACACACCUCUCACCUCUCUGAAAACACUAUAUAACACAAGGCAAUUCCAAGCAUAUUGUAUCUGACAGACCAGACACACAAAACAUGGAUAAUCUGACCUGACUCGAACUCUCUAACCCAGCUUCACCUCCUCCUCCGGCUGUACCUCCUUGUAAUACUCCUGCAGGGCCAGAGCUGGAAGGAGGUGAAAGUGGGUUUAGAGAGUUCAGGUCAGGUCUGGAUGCAGGGCCGGAGCUGGAUGAGGAGAAGAAGGUAAAGCUGCGUUAGAGAGUUCAGCAUAGGCCUUCAGAAUGGAGCGCUGAAAUGUUACAGAAUUUAAAGAGAAACGAAACAGCCAGCGGAACCGGAGAUGGAGUGGGGUUAUGAACUGGAGCCCAAGCUGAAGCUAUUACUUGAGGUGGAUCUGGAUGCCCGGAGAAGGAGGUGAAGCUGGGUUAGAGAGUUCAGGUCAGGUCUGGAUGCAGGGCCAGAGCUGGAUCAGGCGAAGGAG